UACGAAGGGGGCGAGCGUUGUUCGGAAUUAUUGGGCGUAAAGGGCGCGUAGGCGGCCUGGCAAGUGGAAGGUGAAAUCCCUCGGCUUAACCGAGGAACUGCCUCCCAAACUGCUUGGCUUGAGACCGGGAGAGGUGAGUGGAAUUCCCAGUGUAGCGGUGAAAUGCGUAGAUAUUGGGAGGAACACCAGUGGCGAAGGCGGCUCACUGGACCGGUACUGACGCUGAUGCGCGAAAGCGUGGGGAGCAAACGGG
rnacentral:rRNA from 1 species